rnacentral:rRNA from 1 species
GACGAACGCUGGCGGCGUGCCUAAUACAUGCAAGUUGAGCGCUGAAGGUUGGUACUUGUACCAACUGGAUGAGCAGCGAACGGGUGAGUAACGCGUGGGGAAUCUGCCUUUGAGCGGGGGACAACAUUUGGAAACGAAUGCUAAUACCGCAUAAAAACUUUAAACACAAGUUUUAAGUUUGAAAGAUGCAAUUGCAUCACUCAAAGAUGAUCCCGCGUUGUAUUUGCUAGUUGGUGAGGUAAAGGCUCACCAAGGCGAUGAUACAUAGCCGACCUGAGAGGGUGAUCGGCCACAAUGGGAAUGGGACACGGCCCAAGCUCCUACGGGAGGCAGCAGUAGGGGAUCUUCGGCAAAGGACGAAAGUCUGACCGAGCAACGCCGGGUGGGUGAAGAAGGGUUUCGGAUCGGAAAACUCUGUUGGUAGAGAAGAACGAUGGUGAGAGUGGAAAGCGCAUCAAGUGACGGUAACUACCCAGAAAGGGACGGCUAACUACGUG